rnacentral:rRNA from 1 species
UACGAAGGGGGCUAGCGUUGCUCGGAAUCACUGGGCGUAAAGGGCGCGUAGGCGGCCAUUUAAGUCGGGUGUGAAAGCCUGUGGCUCAACCACAGAAUUGCCUUCGAUACUGGAUGGCUUGAGACCGGAAGAGGUAAGUGGAACUGCGAGUGUAGAGGUGAAAUUCGUAGAUAUUCGCAAGAACACCAGUGGCGAAGGCGGCUUACUGGUCCGGAUCUGACGCUGAGGCGCGAAAGCGUGGGGAGCAAACAGG